UAGUAAUUUAGUUACUGACUUAGAUCCUUUUUUUAGUUAUCCUAUAGACUCGACCUUGGUGGGUAUUUUUUCUUCUAAAAGUUUCGAAAUAGACUCUGAAAUAAUUAAACACCCAGAAGAUAAAAUAUCUGGGAAAGUUUGUCAUAUUAUUGACCAAAUACAUAUUUAUAUGCCAUUGAUACAUUAUUAGGUUAAAAUGGCACAUCAAUAUACCGACCUUUUCAAUAUGGACGAUGGAACAAUUUACACACAAAGGCCUGCACAUAACAGCAACUUAUAUAACAACAACAAUGAAAAACAAUUAACAGGUAUUUAUUGAAUACUUUAUAACAAUUUCAAAAAUUACAAAAUAAUCUUUAUUAGAGAUUCUUAAACUUUUGCAUGACGUCUAUGGAAAAGUUAGUGAAUUAACAACAAAAUUUGAUCGUCUCAAUAUGGAAAUGAUUUCUGUAAGGAACGAGGUUACUUCCAUAAAAGCUAAAGUUUACGGAGAAAUAUCCAUUGAGCGUGAAAUAGUUCCUCGCUCUCCUUUCUCAACUUUAGAAGAAAUUAAUAACCUUGAAAAAAACUUAAGAACGAAGAAGUAUUUAAAAAAUUUGUUCAUGAAAUUUGCACCAAUGGAGAGAAGUCGUACGAUAAAUUUAUAAGAAGCUCGUGGCGGUCAUUGUUUGAAGACACGUUAGCGCAGCAGUUUUCAUGGCGUGGGACAGGGGCAAAAAAAUGCAUAAGAGGGAUGAAUUUGGCCUUGGCAAUUCGAAAUGCGUUUACAAAAAAGUUUGCGUUGGAGGAGAGCGAAUUUGACAAAGUAAGUCAAAAAUUUUUUCAGUACGCACAUGACCGAGUCUGCAAAAUUUACAAGUACCAGGAAAAAAAA